UACGGGGGGGGCAAGCGUUGUUCGGAAUUACUGGGCGUAAAGGGCUCGUAGGCGGCCAACUAAGUCGGACGUGAAAUCCCUCGGCUUAACCGGGGAACUGCGUCCGAUACUGGAUGGCUUGAGUUUGGGAGAGGGAUGCGGAAUUCCAGGUGUAGCGGUGAAAUGCGUAGAUAUCUGGAGGAACACCGGUGGCGAAGGCGGAUCUCUGGGCCAUUACUGACGCUGAGGAGCGAAAGCGUGGGGAGCGAACAGG
rnacentral:rRNA from 1 species